rnacentral:rRNA from 1 species
AUGAUUCAUGCAAAACCAGACUACAUGUGGGGUACAAUCAAGGCUAAGGUAAAUAUCUCAGUUAGAGAUAAGAUUUGGGUCUCUUUUGCCAAAGAUCUUGCUGCUUGGAUAUACUUGUUUUAUGAAAGGAUUGGUCGAAUUUGUACUUUCUGUGGGCUCAUGUUUCAUAGUGUUCAGUAUUGUCCUACUAGGAACAAUCUCCUCAUUUCAAGGCAAAGGCUCCAGAUUUCUCUUGAUCAAAUUCCUUCAGUUAGGUUUGGUCAAUGGAUGGUUAAUGUCGACCUCAUUCCGAAACACCUGAACUCCGAAAUACAGGAGGAUAUGGAUUCUUUCUCAACUUUUCUGAAUCCGCAGCUAGUUCGAUUGCAGAAACAAUUCAUGCAAAGUUCUAAGGAGAAAUCUAAGGUCUCUGAUGAGGGAGGUGUUUCACAAGUAGUUAAUAAAGAAUUAUCACCGAAGGAAAUUCAUAAGCAGAUUCAGCGACUUCAGCAAGGUGAUACAUCAAAUUCAGAGAUGCAUUUUCAACAGAAGCAAUUUCAGAAGAGUGUUGCUCCUUCCAUGGUUGCUUAG